GUUUUUGUAGUGUUGUCAAACAGCAAAGUGCUGCAUCUCUUUUUCUCCUAUAUAUCAUGAGUACAUUUGAGAUUUAGCGCGUUAUGCUAACAACUUGACAGCUAAAACUAAUGGUAGUCAUCGUCGGCAAGACG